GGCUCGACCCGGACCAAUCGGGAUUGCGCUCAAUACUUUGUAAACAACACAGUUGCACGCUGUAUGAAAACUUUACUACGAGAGAGGAUGUCGCGUGCCGAGGACCGCCAGAAAAUCUCUUAAUUCGGUGGCCAUGGAUUUCACAUAGGCCAAAGCUUGAGCGUACAUUCAACGCCCUGUUUGGCGGUGCACAAUGACCCAAUGAAGGAAACAUCUGCCUGCGUGUUGCACCGUCUGCACCAGAUCACCACAGCCGGCUAACUGAGGGAGAACUUCUGCACGGCACAUCCACAUCGCCGGAGCAACUGCUGCUGCUGCUCUCUCACACACACAGGCACACACACAUGUGAAGUUCUGCUUCAGCAUACCACCAGCAUCCUCCACAGCAGCUGUGUGCGUGUGUCUGUUUGUGUAUGUGUCGACACAUGAACUUUCUCUUUUCAUCCAGCAGUUGGGAACAUGCCUCGGUCCUCACCACUGGCCAUCAGCUCUGUUCCAUUUUCUUCUGGAGUGUGUGGACGUAUACGCGCGCACGUGUACACAGUUCCUGUGUGGUAACCCUGUUUAGAUGCAGUGGUUUACACUGAUCAGUGCAGAGCCACACAGGUUUUUCAGUGCAGACUAGCAGAGGAAGACUCUGGCUGUGCAGUAUUGUAAUGUGUUAUAUCAGAGCCGAUUAAGACUCGUUUUCAUCCGUGUUCAAACUAAACUCACAAAAAUGCUGAUACAGAAAUGACAUUCUGAUCAGGAGCCAUACUGACCAGAAUGUCAUUUCUGUAUCAGCAUUUUUGGUUUUCAGGAUAAAACCAGUGUAUCUGCUCAUUUAAAUGUAGUUUGUUAAAGGCACAAACUGUUCUGUGGUUGGUGGCAAAUGUGGUACAUGUAAUGUAGAACACAUAAUCGGAUUACUUUUUGAGAGAAAUA